rnacentral:rRNA from 1 species
CCUACGGGUGGCAGCAGUGGGGAAUAUUGGAUAAUGGGGGGAACCCUGAUCCAGCCAUGCCGCGUGUGUGAAGAAGGCCCUCGGGUUGUAAAGCACUUUCAGUGAGGAAGAACGCCUGGUGGUUAAUACCCAUCAGGAAAGACAUCACUCACAGAAGAAGCACCGGCUAACUCCGUGCCAGCAGCCGCGGUAAUACGGAGGGUGCGAGCGUUAAUCGGAAUUACUGGGCGUAAAGCGCGCGUAGGUGGCUUGAUAAGCCGGUUGUGAAAGCCCCGGGCUCAACCUGGGAACGGCAUCCGGAACUGUCAAGCUAGAGUGCAGGAGAGGAAGGUAGAAUUCCCGGUGUAGCGGUGAAAUGCGUAGAGAUCGGGAGGAAUACCAGUGGCGAAGGCGGCCUUCUGGACUGACACUGACACUGAGGUGCGAAAGCGUGGGUAGCAAACAGGAUUAGAUACCCUAGUAGUC